UACAUAUGAAGGUUUUUGUAGACUAAGGUCUAAGGAUUUAGGAUUUUGAGGACCAAUAAGGUUUUCUUAGAUAUCUAGCAAUCUUCUAAUUGGAUUGGAGAGAUUUUUGGUUUUAUCAGUAGAAGACUUGAUUUCCUAUAAGCAAGUAAAAUUUGGAAGCAAUUGAAUGGUGGAAAGGAGAGAUAUCAACACUGGAAGUUGGCAUCAAGAUUAGAGAAGGAGAGACCAGCCGACAUCCGAGCGGAAUUUUGAAGUCAUCGACUAAUUGGUAAGUGCGAUUUUCUUCAAAAUUUGUAUACUGGUUUCUAACUUAAAUUCUAAGAAGUGUGCAAAUUUUGAAUUAGAAUCAACAGUUCAAACUUUAGUUAUUUAAUUUUCAAAUCUAUGAUUAGGGUUUGGUUUGGAUUAGGAUUUAAUUAAGAUUUAGAGUUAGGAUUUGGUUAAGAUUUGGUUUAGGGUGUAGGAUUUAGGAUUUUGUUUAAGAUUUGAUUUAGGAUUUAGGAUUUGGAUUAGGAUUUGGAUUAAGGUUAGGAUUUGGUUAGGAUUUGGUUUAGGGUUUAGGGUUUGUUAGGGUUAGAGAAUAGUUUAGGAUUUGGUUUAGGAUUUCAUUUAGCAUUUAGAGUUUAGGAUUUGAAUUAGAGUUUAGAUUAGGAUUUGGAUUAAGGUUUUUAUUAGGAUUUAGGAUUUGGUUUAGGAUUUGGUUAGGUAUUGGUUUAAGGUUUAGGAUUUGAUUAAGGUUUGAUUAAGAUUUGGUUUAGAGUUUAGGAUUUGUCUAGGAUUUGAUUAAGGUUGGAUUAGGAUUAGAGGUUGGUUAGAAUUUAAGAUUUUAUUAGAUUUUUGUUAGGGUUUGACUAAGUUUUCUUUAAUAUUCUUUUAUAUUUCUUUAGGGUUUCUUUGUAUUUCUUUUAUAACUUUAAUAGAAUUUAAUUGAGCAUGCUUAAUGUUUGAUUAUGAUUGUUAACAUUUAAUUGUAAAUUCUCUAUAAUCCUAUUAGAUUGUUAGGACCUUUUG
rnacentral:lncRNA from 1 species